rnacentral:lncRNA from 1 species
UCAUAGAGGCCCCUGGGAAGCCUUUCCUUACCAACGGACUAUUAUUGCACACUAAGUGAUGGAAAUGGACAUUAAACAUACUGCUUUGGAUCAGAGGCAAUGAGGUCUGCCAUCUCAGAGGGUGAUAGAGGUAUUCGCUCCUCCGGGAACACUAUCUACUCCACAACAGGGACUCCACCAAUUCACUUCCCGAAUCUUCCUUGACCACGUCAAGUGUUUGGAAAUGGACAUUAAAAAUACAGAUUUUGAUGAGAGAGAGAAAAUAUGAUUUUGAGGACUGCUUUCACCGACUCCCCUAAAUUUGGUAAGUUUCUCCUAAUCAUCCUAGUAUUCCAGGAUUAGAUUACUCAGUCAAUAAUAUUCUUUCUUCAUCAUAUUAAUGUUUUCAGAGAGAAAAUAUGAUUUUGAGGACUGCUUUCACCGACUCCCCUAAAUUUUGGAAAGUUGUCUUGUGAUCAUCAUCAUCUCUCUGUGACAAUGGUAAAGGCUGCAUGAAAUACUUGGAAUUGGACUUGGUCCACACAGUUCCUGUGCCACCAUCCUGAAGCCCUAGUAGGUAGAUAUGAUAGUAAUCAUCUAAAGAGAGAGGGAAGCAUAUGAAUUGUUGACUAUGCGACACUAUUGCAGCCAUUACCCUAGAGGCACCAUUAGACUUGCACUGGUACCUCCCCCAAAUAGCCUUUCUCAAAUGUUUUAGCAUCUCCAUUGGCUACAAGAGGGAACUCAGCCUGAACAAACUCAGACUAGUUCCCUUCCCAUGGAGGCAUGUGGUCCUGGCC